ensembl:lncRNA
AAAUCACACUAGGUUUGGCUAAAGAUCAAUUCCUUCCAAUACAAAUCACACUAGGUUUGGCUAAAGAUCAAUUCCUUCCAAUACAAAUCACACUAGGUUUGGCUAAAGAUCAAUUCCUUCCAAUACAAAUCACACUAGGUUUGGCUAAAGAUCAAUUCCUUCCAAUACAAAUCACACUAGGUUUGGCUAAAGAUCAAUUCCUUCCAAUACAAAUCACACUAGGUUUGGCUAAAGAUCAAUUCCUUCCAAUACAAAUCACACUAGGUUUGGCUAAAGAUCAAUUCCAAAAUGUGAAACAUUGAAAUAUCAAUAUCAUUUAUAAUUCAUUAAUACUUUAUAUAGGCAACAAAUCAAUACAACUAUUUUUUCUUUCAAAAUUAGUUAUUCAGUAUAUCUCGAUAUCCAUUUUCAAAUCGUAAUUAGAAACUUUCAAUUUAAUUAAAUACGUCUGUUUUCCCCCCACUGUCCUGCAUUGUGUUUUCUGCUCCAGGAUACAUUUUAUAAAUACUUUUCCCCUAAAAGUCAAACACUCGUUAUCAACUUGUAGAUCAGUUAUCGAACCCACAGAUAAUCCAAGAACAACCCACCAAAGCCCAUCCGCAACGAAAUAACUAACAAACCAGUAAAACAGUAUUCAAUAUCAUCAGGUCAAAAUCAGAGAUGUAAUUUAUAAAACAUUAUAUAAAAUAAAACACUCUGGGGAAAGAACUUGAUACCACACUAAAGAGAGGCUACAAUUAUAAAAAUUUAUUUUUAAAAAAAGUAUCAGGUUUGGACACGUGUUAGUGUUGUGAGUGGAAUUUCUAUAACGUGUGUUUGUAGUUUGUACACUACAUGACCAAAAGUAUGUGGACACCUGCCCGUCCAACAUCUCAUUGCAAAAAACAUGGGUAUUACAUAUGGAGUUGGUCCUCCCCUUUGCUGCUAUAACAGCCUCCUCUCUUCUGGGAAGGCUUUCACUAGAUGUAGGAACAUUGCUGCUAUAACAGCCUCCACUCUUCUAGGAAGGCUUUCCACUAGAUGUUGGAACAUUGCUGCUAUAACAGCCUCCUCUCUUCUAGGAAGGCUUUCCACUAGAGGUUGGAACAUUGCUGCUAUAACAGCCUCCUCUCUUCUAGGAAGGCUUUCCACUAGAUGUUGGAACAUUGCUGCUAUAACAGCCUCCUCUCUUCUGGGAAGGCUUUCCACUAGAUGUUGGAACAUUGCUGCUAUAACAGACUCCUCUCUUCUGGGAAGGCUUUCCACUAGAUGUUGGAACAUUGCUGAGGGGACUUUCUUCCAUUCAGUCACAAGAGCAUUAGUGAGGUCAGUGCAUUGAUGUUGGGCGAUUAGGCCUCCUGGCUCGCAGUCUGCGUUCCAAUUCAUCCCAAAGGUGUUCGAUGGGGUUGAGGUCAGGGCUCUGUGCAGGCCAGUCAAGUUCUUCUACACUGAUCUCGACAAACCAUUUCCGUAUGGACCUCGCUUUGUGAACGGGGGCAUUGUCAUGCUGAAACAGGAAAGGGCCUUCCCCAAAACAUUUGUCUCAAAGUUGGAAGCAGAGAAUCAUCUUGAAUGUCAUUGUCUGCUGUAGCAUUAAGAUUUCCCUUCACUGGAACUAAGGGACCCGAACCAUGGAAAACAGCCCCAGACCAUUAUUCUUCCUCCACCAAACUUUACAGUUGGCACUAUGCAUUCAGGCAGGUAGCGUUCUCCUGGCAUUCGCCAAACCCAGAUUCAUCCGUCAGACUGCCAGAUGGUGAAGCGUUUCCACUACUCCAGAAUCCAAUGGUGGUGAGCUUUACACCACUCCAGCCGACGCUUGGCUUUGCGCAUGGUGAUCUUAGGCUUGUGUGCGGCUGCUCGGCCAUGGAAACCCAUUUCAUGAAGCUCCCAACGAACAGUUCUUGUGCUGACGUUGCUUCCAGAGGCAGUUUGAAACUCGGUAGUGAGUGUUGCAACCGAGGUCAGACGAUUGUUACGUGCCAAGCGCUUCAGCACUCGGGUGGUCCCGUUCUGUGAGCUUAUGUGGCCUACCACUUAGCGGCUGAGCCGCUCUGUAAUAACAGAACUUACAGUUGACCGGGGGGCAGCUCUAGCAGGGCAGAAAUUUGACAAACUGACUUGUUGGAAAGGUGGCAUCCUACGAUGGUGCCACGUUGAACGUCAAUGAGCUCUUCACUAAGGCAAUUCUACUACCAGUGUUUGUCUAUGGAGAUUGCAUGGAGGCAUGCUCAAUUUUAUACACCUGUCGGCAACAGAUGUCUGAAAUAGACGAAUCCACUCAUUUGAAGGGGUGUCCACAUACUUUUGUAUAUAUAGUGUAGCUAGACACGAUUACUUACUGUAAGACCUCUGUAAAAUGUGGCAAUACAUUUAAAAAGAUUGACAUAAAGGCACUGUAAUGAAUUGCGUAGAGAACCAUUUUUUACCCCUCUACUGUAGUUGCUGAGUCCCAUCAAGGCUUAAAACUUUCGUAACAGGUUUAUAUAUAUAUAUCUUUAUAAAACGGGCCGGUUUCCUCAUUCGGCCUAAACCUAGUUCUGGGCUAGAGAGCAGUGGUGAAUGGACAUUCUCCAUUGAAAGUGAUGUUUAGUCCAGGACCAAGGGGUCGUCUGAGAAAGCAGCCCUAUAAUAGUUCAGAAUGAACCAGUGACAUCAUUAUUAGGUAAAAAACAUGAACAACGUAUCUGAUUACAAUUCUCCUCUUAACUACUGUUGUUUUCCUAUUGGAGUGAACAGCAGCAGAUUGUUCCUCUCUAUUGUCCCUUCAGGGCUACUGGCCUCGUCCAUCUUCAUGAAGACAGUCUUCUAAUGGGUUCUAGCCUCGUCCAUCUUCACGAAGACAGUCUUCUAAUGGGUUCUGGCCUCGUCCAUCUUCACGAAGACAGUCUUCUAAUGGGUUCUAGCCUCGUCCAUCUUCACGAAGACAGUCUUCUAAUGGGUUCUGGCCUCGUCCAUCUUCAUGAAGACAGUCUUCUAAUGGGUUCUGGCCUCGUCCAUCUUCAUGAAGACAGUCUUCUAAUGGGUUCUAGCCUCGUCCAUCUUCAUGAAGACAGUCUUCUAAUGGGUUCUAGCCUCGUCCAUGAAGACAGUCUUCUAAU